rnacentral:rRNA from 1 species
GAUGAACGCUAGCGGCAGGCUUAAUACAUGCAAGUCGAGGGGCAGCAUGGUGUAGCAAUACACUGAUGGCGACCGGCAAACGGGUGCGGAACACGUACACAACCUCCCUUCAAGCGGGGCAUAGCCCAGAGAAAUUUGGAUUAAUACCCCAUAGAAUAUUGGAAAGGCAUCUUUUUGAUAUUAAAGAUUUAUCACUUGAAGAUGGGUGUGCGGCUGAUUAGGUAGUUGGCGGGGUAACGGCCCACCAAGCCUUCGAUCAGUAACUGGUGUGAGAGCACGACCAGUCACACGGGCACUGAGACACGGGCCCGACUCCUACGGGAGGCAGCAGUAAGGAAUAUUGGUCAAUGGACGAAAGUCUGAACCAGCCAUGCCGCGUGGAGGAUGAAGGUCCUCUGGAUUGUAGACUUCUUUUAUAUGGGACGAAAAAGGGGCUUUCUAGCUCAACUGACGGUACCAUAUGAAUAAGCACCGGCUAACUCCGUGCCAGCCGCCGCAGUAAGAC